rnacentral:rRNA from 1 species
UACGGAGGGUGGCAAGCGUUACCCGGAAUCACUGGGCGUAAAGGGCUCGUAGGCGGCCAACUAAGUCAGACGUGAAAUCCCUCGGCUUAACCGGGGAACUGCGUCUGAUACUGGAUGGCUUGAGGUUGGGAGAGGGAUGCGGAAUUCCAGGUGUAGCGGUGAAAUGCGUAGAUAUCUGGAGGAACACCGGUGGCGAAGGCGGCAUCCUGGACCAAUUCUGACGCUGAGGAGCGAAAGCUAGGGGAGCAAACGGGG